rnacentral:rRNA from 1 species
CCUACGGGAGGCAGCAGUGAGGAAUAUUGGUCAAUGGCCGCAGGGCUGAACCAGCCAAGUCGCGUGAGGGAUGACGGUCCUAUGGAUUGUAAACCUCUUUUGUCAGGGAGCAAAGGGCGCCACGUGUGGAUAUUUGCAUGUACCCUAUGAAUAAGCAUCGGCUAACUCCGUGCCAGCAGCCGCGGUAAUACGGAGGAUGCGAGCGUUAUCCGGAUUUAUUGGGUUUAAAGGGUGCGUAGGUUGUUUUUUAAGUCAGCGGUGAAAGUUUGUGGCUCAACCAUAAAAUUGCCGUUGAAACUGGAAGACUUGAGUGUGUUUGAGGUAGGCGGAAUGCGUGGUGUAGCGGUGAAAUGCAUAGAUAUCACGCAGAACCCCGAUUGCGAAGGCAGCAUACCGGUGCACAACUGACGCUCAGGCACGAAAGCGUGGGUAUCGAACAGGAUUAGAUACCCCAGUAGUC